rnacentral:rRNA from 1 species
AGUGAACGCUGGCGGUAGGCCUAACACAUGCAAGUCGAACGGCAGCACAGUAAGAGCUUGCUCUUACGGGUGGCGAGUGGCGGACGGGUGAGGAAUACAUCGGAAUCUACUUUUUCGUGGGGGAUAACGUAGGGAAACUUACGCUAAUACCGCAUACGACCUACGGGUGAAAGCAGGGGAACUUCGGACCUUGCGCGAUUGAAUGAGCCGAUGUCGGAUUAGCUAGUUGGCGGGGUAAAGGCCCACCAAGGCGACGAUCCGUAGCUGGUCUGAGAGGAUGAUCAGCCACACUGGAACUGAGACACGGUCCAGACUCCUAAGGGAGGCAGCAGUGGGGAACAUUGGACAAUGGGCGCAAGCCUGAUCCAGCCAUACCGCGUGGGUGAAGAAGGCCUUCGGGUUGUAAAGCCCUUUUGUUGGGAAAGAAAAGCAGCAGGUUAAUACCCCGCUGUUCUGACGGUACCCAAAGAAUAAGCACCGGCUAACUUCGUG